UUUGAUAGCUUAAUUAUGAAGAGCUAUAACUUGUUUUAAUGGUUUAUUCUUUAAAUUUGUUUGAACAGGUAGAAGUAUUGAAGUUAAAUGCACUACAAAUUCAACUUUUGAACUCUUUAUUGAUAAAAAAUAGUCUUAUUUUUUAUUUUGAAAAGGUGAUGAUGUAUUGAGUUCUACCGGUCUGCCUAUCAAGAAACAAAUAAGCUCGGUUUGGAAUUCCAGGAAAUUAUAGUUCCCGAAUAUAACAUGUUACGGGGUAUUUUGCCCUUGUUGUUCGUAAAUCACAAGCCUUUUUAAAAAUUAAAAUACCUCCUUUUUUUCUGGUUGUUGGAUGAAUUGUUGUUAUUUGCUUAUUCUUCGGGUAAUUUCCUUCCAGGCCCAAUUCCUUAUUCAUCUCAUCUGUGUUUCAGGUAUUGAAGAGUGAAGACGAACGUCCCAUAGGUAAUCUCACUCAGUUUCUUCCUUGAAUACGAGGUCUUUGUUGUAUUUGAUUGUAUUCAACCAAUCAUCUCUUUCACUUUCCUGAUAUUUUGCUCGGAAUGAACACUGCACUACUCUCUUCGGUAGAUAUGGUGUAUCAUGUAUUGUUUUUGAAAUGCAGGUUGGUGUUAGCUGGAGAGGGUGUUGUUUAAAAAAUAAGGGCAAUAUACUUGUGCUCAGUAGUUUAUCAACCGUCAGGUCGAGCACAUCCUUUUAGCAUUAGUGCACUACUGUAAAAUCGACAAUUGAACUCGGGUAUUUGCUUUCGUUUAUUUUUUUCUUCGGAACUCUUUUGAUAGCUUUCAUUAUGAAGAGCUAUAACUUGUUUUAAUGCUUUUUUAUUUUAAUUUAUUGAAGUGAAACGUACUACAAAUUCAAUUUUUAAACUCUUUACUGAUAAAAAAUAGUCUUAUUUUUUAUUUUGAAAAUGUGAGAAAAUAAUUUACAAUUUUCAUGUGUUGAUUUUAAAAUUAAACGCAUAGUUUAUAGAUAUGAAGGUUGUUAUGAGUCGCAGUUUAUUUUCAAAUAUCCAUAAAUUUGACGGUUAAACUAAUCAGUUUUGGAACACAAGAUCAAGUGACAUGUUUUAGUUUGAUAAUUAAGUUGAAUUUGUGCUGCAGAUAUCUAUGGCUUUAUCUGUAGCAGUCAAGAGGAGAAGCCUGUUAUAAGUGUGGUAGCUGAAUUGUCAACGUCGUUCUUUAUCUUCUGUUUAUGAGAUUUAAUCAACAGUUGUCUUCAUUCACUGCGCUGCUCUAAAACUGUUUCAUGGUUUGCAGGUGAUGAUGCCAUGAGUUUAUACAGGUCUGCCUAUCGAGAAACAAAUAUUCUCGAUUUGGUUUUUUAACACAUCCGUUGCAAUUGCAACGCUUGUUCAAUGAAGCUGGAGAGCUGAUGUGGCAUUUGUGCUCCAGUAUUAUUAGAUUCUUCAAGGACGACGACCACAUAGGCCAUGAAAAGGUUUGUGAUUACUUCAGUCAAAACGCCAAAGGGUUUGGGCAUUCGAGGUGACAUUAGCUGGAGAGCAAAAAACUUAUGUUCAGGCAUUAGUUUAUCAGGUGGCAUUAGCUGGAUUUUUUAUCUGAUAAGCUCUCUUUCUAGCGUGUGCCCAUUUGCGUGAAUGUGUGUGCCUAUAUGUUCUAAUGGAGCUGUACAGGUGACAUUAGCUGUAUUUUUUCUGAUAAGCUCUCUUUCUAUGUGUGUGCCCACCUUUUUCUACGUGUCUGCCCAUGUGCGUGAAUGUGUGUGUCUAUAUAUACUAGUGGAGCUGUUGUGAUGAUUGUUGAUUAUUUUGUGGAGCUGAUAAAUUGGGCAUCUAGAAAACCCUCCCGUAGUUUGGCGUGGCGAAUCCGGAUGGGCUGUGAUUUUGGGGAAAUUUAUAUUUCCUCUGAUCGCAUGCAACCGGUGAUUCUGCAGCUAACCACGGAAUGGUUGGAUGACGUCUCUUUUCCAGCUUUAACAAUUGAACAACAGAUCUGAGCCUCACGUCCUUUAGUUCUCUGUAUCUAUAACUUGAUUACUACUGGAAUUCCAGGAAAUUAAAGUUCCCCAAUAUAAUUAUGUACGGAGUAUUUUUAAACUUACGUGAUUAUUGCCCUUGCUGAUUGUAAAUCACAAGCACUUUUUACAAAUUAAAAUAUCUCUCUUGUUUUUGGUUGUUGCAUGGAUUCGUUGGUUGUUGGGUCGAGAUAAAAGCGCAAGGACUAGAUGUGCUAUGGAAACUCUUCUAAGUGUCUUUCAGCUGACUUUCUAACGGUUUUAACAGUUCUUAUGUUGUACUACUUUCUGGACUGUGAGCUGAACUUGUUGUUAUUUGCUCAUUUUUCGGGUAAUUUCCUUCCAUGCCUAAUUCUUUAACCAUCUCAUCUAUGUUUCAUGUAUUGAAGAGUGAAGACGAGUGUCGCAUAGGUAAUCGUACCCAGUUUUUUCCUUCAACCAAUCAUCUCUUUCAAUUGCCUGAUAUUCUGUUCGGAAUAUACACUGCAAUACUCUGUUCGGUAGAUAUGGUGUAGCAUGUAUUGUUUUUGGAAUGCAGGUUGGUGUUAGCUGGAGAGAGUGUUGUUUAAAAAAUAAGGGCAAAAUACUUGUGCUCAGUAGUUUAUCAACGGUCGGGUUGAGCACAUCCAUUUAGCAUUAGUGCAAUCCUGUAAAAUCGAUAAUUAAAUUCUGGUAUUUGCUUUUUUUUUUUUUUUUUUUUGGAACUCUGUUGGUAGCUUUAAUUAUGAAGAGCUAUAACUUGUUUUAAUGCUUUAUUAUUUAAAUUUGUUUGAUUAGGUAAAAGUAUUGAAGGGAAAUGUACUACAAAUUCAAUUUUUGAACUCUUUAUUGAUAAAAAAUAUAGUCUUAUUUUUUAUUUUGAAAAGGUGAGAAAAUUAAAAAGUUUCAUGUAUUUAUUUUAACAUUAAACUUAAUAGUUUAUAAAUACGAAGGUAACUUGUUAUGAGCCGCAGUUUAUUUUCAAAUUAAACGUAUAUGUUAUUCUGGUUGCUUUCCUCAGAUUUUCUGCUUUUGGUUUCUUUACACCUUUGGUUGCUUCACAGUGCUGGUUUCGCUGCUGCGACGGGAUUCAACUUUGGAUAUCCGGAUGGGAGAACCUUUUUCUUCCAUCAACCAAUGGGAGGCCGACUAUGUGAUGGAUGUUUAAUCAUUGAUUUCCUCUGUAAGCAUAUGUAUUAUCAAUUUAUCAUGUUCUGCUCUAAUGUUUUUAAAUUACAGGAACAAAUAUACUCUCAACCAAAUACUCCACACGUCUUCUGGAGUUCAACUU